AACGAACGCUGGCGGCAGGCUUAACACAUGCAAGUCGAACGCACCGCAAGGUGAGUGGCGCACGGGUGAGUAACGCGUGGGAAUGUACCGUUUAGUACGGAAUAGCUCCGGGAAACUGGAAUUAAUACCGUAUACGCCCUUCGGGGGAAAGAUUUAUCGCUAAACGAUCAGCCCGCGUGAGAUUAGGUAGUUGGUGGGGUAAUGGCCUACCAAGCCUACGAUCUCUAGCUGGUCUGAGAGGAUGAUCAGCCACACUGGAACUGAGACACGGUCCAGACUCCUACGGGAGGCAGCAGUGGGGAAUAUUGGACAAUGGGGGAAACCCUGAUCCAGCCAUGCCGCGUGAAUGAUGAAGGCCUUAGGGUUGUAAAGUUCUUUUAGCGAUGAAGAUAAUGACGGUAGUCGGAGAAAAAGCCCCGGCUAACUUCGUGCCAGCCGCCGCGGUAA
rnacentral:rRNA from 1 species